UACGGGGGGGCAAGCGUUGUUCGGAAUUACUGGGCGUAAAGGGCUCGUAGGCGGCCAACUAAGCCAGACGGGAAAUCCCUCGGCUUAACCGGGGAACUGCAUCUGAUACUGGAUGGCUUGAGUUUGGGAGAGGGAUGCGGAAUUCCAGGUGUAGCGGUGAAAUGCGUAGAUAUCGGGAGGAACACCAGUGGCGAAGGCGGCGAUCUGGGAAGAUACUGACGCUGAGGUGCGAAAGCGUGGGGAGCAAACAGG
rnacentral:rRNA from 1 species